AAAAUGAGGACUCAAAUUUAAUUUGUGUCAAUAAAGUGACAUUUAAGUGAUAUUAGGGAAAUUUCUUGUGGAUCACUCUGGGCGUAACUUCACUGAUUUGAACUUUUAUCUCCUUAUCCAUAGUGAUGUUGGAUGUGAUGGGUUGGUGCUGUGGAAUUCUUGUGACUGUGGCCUCAUUGCUGAGAUCCCGUGGAAGAUUCCUGCUGGUGAAACAUUUCUCAAGUGUCUACAUGUUCUAGAAGGGGAAUUUUUCGAAGGUGGCCUCUUCUUCGGAAUAGUCCGAUGGCAUCAGGCCUCUGAAGCAAGGGGAAGGGGAAGAGAAAAAAGCUGAAACACAAGGUUCAUCUGGUUGACAGAAGUCUGAGACUCACUGAGCUGCUCUUGUGGUUAGAGGGCUAAGGAGAGGAAGUCGGGACAAAGCUGCCUUUGUGCUCCCUGAAGAUGGAUCCUUGUCCUACAUCAUGAAACGCAAGUGUCAGACAUAUGGCAAAGCCAUUUUCCUUUUUACCCAGGAGGAUUUGAGUGGGGCAAUGGAAAGGUGAGAGGAAAA